UUUUAGCCCCGAGUGAAGUGAAAAUCCUUUUUGUUUUUUUUUUUAAACAAAAAGAUUGCAACGGAAAGUGGGACAAUGC
rnacentral:sRNA from 1 species